rnacentral:lncRNA from 1 species
GGUCCACUCCAGACCCUGUUUGCCUGGGUAUCACCAGCAGAGGCUGCAGAAGAGCAACGAUUGCUGCCUGUUUCUUCCUCUGGAAGCUUUGUUCCAGAGGAGCACCCACCAGAUGAAAGCUGGAGCUCUCCUGUAGGAGGUGUCUGUUGACCCCUGCUGGGAGCUUUCUCCCAGUCAGGAGGCACAGGGGUCAGACUGCCAUCUGAGGAGGCACUGUGCUGGGAGAUCCACUGCUCUCUUCAGAGCCAGCAGGCAAGAACAAGUCUGCCAAAGCUGUGCCCACAGCCGCCCCUUCCCCCAGGUGCUCUGCCCCAGGGAGAUGGGAGUUAUAUCUAUAAGCCCUUGACUGGAAAUACUGAUGAAUAAAAUUGAAAAGGACACAAAAAUGAAAAAAAAACUCAUUAUCAGUUGGAAGAAUUGAUACUAUCAGAAUGACAAUACUACCCCCAAACAAUUUAUAGAUUCAAUGCAAUCCCUAUCAAAAUACCAAUGACAUUCUUCACAGAAAUUUUUAAAAGUCUUACAAUUUAUGUGGAACCAUAAAAGACCCUAAUUAGCUGAAGCAAUUCUGAGAAAAAAGAACAAAUCUGGAGGCAUCACACUGUAUAACUUUAAAAUUUAUGACAAAGCUAUAGUAACCAAAUCAGCAUGGUACUGGCACAAGAAUAGACACACAGACCAAUGGAGUAGAACAGAAAAUUCAUUUAUGAAUCCACACAUUUAUAGCAAAUUCAUCUUCAACAAAUGUGCUAAGAAGGACCACCUCUUUAAUAAAUGGUGCUGGGAAAUUUGGUUAACUAUAGUCAAAAGAAUGAACCUUAGAUCUAAAUCUCUUACCAUCCACAAACAAAAAUAGAUUAAAGGUUUAAAUCUAAGACCUGAAACUGUGAAACUACUAGAAGAAAGCAUUGGGAAAAUGCUCCAGGACAUUGGUCUAGGCAAAAAUUUUCUGUGUAAAACCUCACAAGCACAAUCAAUCAAAGCAAGAAAUAGACAAAUGUUAUUCCAUCAAGCUAAGAAGCUUCUGCACAGCAAAGGAAACAAUCAGCAAGCGAAGGAAGACACAACCUAUAGAAUAGGAGAAAAUAUUUGCAAACUACCAACCUGACAAGGGAUUAAUAAACCAGAGUUUAUAAGGAGCUCAAAAAACUCAGUAGAAAAAAAACCCAGCAAAUAAUUUAAUUAAAAAAUGCACAAAAGACCUGAAUAGACAUUUCUCAAAAGAAGACAUACAAUGGCCAACAAAUAUAUGAAAAAUAUGCUCAACAUCACUAAUCAUCAGGAGAAUGCAAAUCAAAAUUACAGUGAGGUAUUAUCUUACUCCAGAUAAAAUUGCUUUUAUCAAAAAGACAGGAAAUAACAGGUGCUGGCGAUGAUGUGGAGAAAGGGGAACCCUCAUACACUUUUGGUGGGAAUAUAAAUUAGGAAAGUCACAAUGGAGAAUAGUAUGGAGAUUCCUCAAAAAACUAAAAAUAGAACUGCUCUACCAUCCAGGAAUCCUGCUACUGUGUAUAUCCAAAAGAAAGAAAAUCAAUAUAUUGAAGGGAUACCGACACUCCCAUGUUUAUCACAGCAUUAUGAACAAUAGAAAAGAUAUAGAAUAAACCUAAGUACCCAUCAACAAAUGAAUGGAGAAAAUGUGGUACAUAUACACAAUGGAAUAUUAUACAGCCAUAAGAAAGAAUGAAAUCCUGUCAUUUGCAGCAACAUGGAUGGAAGUGGAGGUCAUCAUAUCAAGCUAAAUAAGCCAGGCACAGAAAAACAGUUAUUGCAUGUUCUCACUCAUAUGUGGGAGCCAAAAACUGGAUUUCAUGAAGAGAGAGUGGAAUGAUAGUUACCAGAGGCUUGGAAGGGAAGGGGAGAGAGAGGUAUGAAGAGAAGUUGGUUAAUGUGUGCAAAAAUACAGUUAGCUAGAAAGAAUAAAUUCUAGUAUUCAAUAGCAAAGUGGGGAAAUUUUAGUUAAAUAAUAAACUAUAUAUUUAAAAAUAAAAUAAUAUAUUGUACAUUUUAAAAUAUCCAGAAGAAAUAUAAUGUUUCCAACAUGAAGCAAGAUAAAUGUUUGAGGUGAUGGAUAUCCCAAUCACACUUGUUUGAUUAUUACACAAUGUAUACAUGUAUCAAAUAUUACACAUACCCCCAAAAAUGUACAACUAUGAUGUAUUAAUUUAAAACACACAAAAAAUUCCUUUGUCUGUUUUCUAGAAAUAUUAUAUUUUCACUUUUACACUUAAAUCUAUAAUCCACAUAAAGUGAUUUUUUUCAUGUUGCGUAUAGUGAGAAAAAAAAGUUUGUUUGUUUUUCUUAUAAGUACCCUGUUGUUCCAACACUAUUUACUGAAUAAACUUUAUUUUGCCUCUUGUUAAUUUGGGUUGUCUUCUUAGUAUGUGGUUGCAGGAGUUAUUUUUGGUGAUGGUCAGUCUGGUCAACCACAAGGGAGACACAGAGGAGGCAAAGGAAAAAACAAGUUUCUUAUACUCAAGGUCCUAGAGGGACAGAGUCACUGCAUGCUGACAGGGAGUGAUGUGGAAAAGAGCACCAAGGAAAAAGGCUCAGCCAAGCAAGUGGGGAGCAGAGAGCGGGCAAACACCAGAAGCCAUAGGUUAAGACAUGAGGACUUCUACUGAAACUUCUCUAAAUAUGGAACCAAGACUUCAUCUGAGUUUGAGAUUAAGAGAAGAAAUUAUCACAGCUCCAUGAGGAAGAAAAAAUAAUCUGUGACUUCUGUACCUUCUUCAUGACCACCGGGCAAGACUGACUCUCUGACCAGUGCACAGGAGACUCAUCAAUAUCUAUCUAAGCCCUUUCUCUCUAACAGCUGCCAGAGUUUGGUCUUCUAUCAUCUCAGGCCAAGGAAGCGCAGUGGUUACACUCAUCUCCACUCCGGUCACCUGCUUUCCAUUUUAUGCGAGCAGGUCCUGCCUUACAAAAUAAACGUAUCUGCUGAGAAAUGCCAAUGAGGGAGACAGAAGAGAUCUUCAAAGGGAAAGGCAGAUUUUGUAAGUGGUUGUUGAUGGACCAAAUUCCAUGUUAUAAAUCUUCUCAGGGUGCAGUAGUUGAUAUAACUCCAUUGAGAUGGACCCUGAAAACAAAUAUGCACAAAAGGAAUUUUACAGAUAAAUCCGUGUUCCAUGCCUAGAAUAAAGUAAUACCAUUAUAAUCAUUAUCUGCUUUCAAUAUCCAACCCUGCCAUUUAGUUUCAGCUUCAGGUCCACCGGAUCCUUCAAAUAUUUCUUCAUACAAUCUCCUUUUGUCCCUCAGGACCUGUUGGAAAGAAAGGCGUCCAAUGCUAAUAAGGAAAAGAGAAGAGCCUUCCUCUCCAUGCAGGUUUAAGUCUACUGAAAGUGGAAAUUACUCUUUUAUUUAUAAAUACUGAUAGGACUCUUUUGGUAGCAGGGAACAUGGACCCACUUAUGCAACCUUAAGUAAAAACGGUAAUUUAUGGUAAAGGAAAAUGGAUAGCUGUCAGAAUUCUAAGCAGGAAGGUCAUAAACAAGCUGGAAUCAGAAAGUGGGAGGUUGUUGGGAUCCUUGGAACUACCUCGACCCUGCAAUCAGACAGACUCCUCUACCUGCCCUCUGUGUCCUUGGACAAACUGCUCAACCUCCCUAUGCGUCAGUUUCCUCAUCUGUAAAAUGGGAACAAUGAUAUCCAUCUUUUAAGAUUUUUGUGAGGAUUGAAUGAAUUAAACAAGUAAAGAGAUUGGAUCUAGGUCUGAAAUUUGCUAGCCACUCAAAUACUAGUUAUUUCAUUGGUUGUUUCAUAUUUUCUGCCCACGUAUGUUGACUUCUAUUUUGUUUCUUUUAAAUAAUUUGCCACUUUCUGAAAUUGUCUAAUUUACCUAAUUGCUGACUUGUAGAGCAUGGGUCUUCUCCUCUAGUAUUUAAGGUUUAUCACACCCUCAGUAGAGGGAAGGCAAUGAGUGUUCUGCUACAUGUCCUGUUUGCUGGAGCGGAGAACUUUCAGCCUGUUUCUGACCCAGUCCUCUGAGUACCUCUGCUCUGAAAGUUGUAACUGUCUCUCUUUCCCAGGGCUGUUUCUAUCUCCUUAGCCAAAAAGCCAGACUUCCUAGCCCAAGGAGGGGAGCUCAGUGAACCUCAACUAUAAGGCUGAAUCAAUCAGGAUUAAUGUAGUUUCAAGCCAGACUGAGUAGAUGACCAUUACUACUGCUACUACUUUAAGUUCUGCCCCCUUUGAAGGAUUUCCUUCAUCACUUUCUUUCAAGAACAAUACUAAUUGUGGUUGCAGUAAUACAACAGUCCACUUCCAGUUUUGCUAACAUAUUUUACUAAAUCAUCUGUGAAGCAAGCCCUGGUUUUCCUUCUGUAGUUAUCUAGUUAAAAGGAGUUCCACAUGAGGCUAUAGAUGUGAACUGCAGGAGAGGAGGGAAUGCAGUAAAAGUUGGUACCUUAGCAGUCUGAGCCACCUGCUCAUACAACUUACUUAUGCCUUGUUAAACCCAGUCAUAUAUACAUCAUAUAUAUAUAGAUGUAUUGCUGCUGUGCAUGUACAAUCUUGUGGCUACAUAAAACCCCACUCAUGAUGAGCAGUUCGAAUUGCAGAUUGCGUGGUCACUUGAUGUCCCAUGUUAAGUAUUAAGUUUUUAGUAAGGUCUAGGCAAACUUGAUGCUGUAUCCUAAAAGAACAUUAUCUCCAGAAGAGAGUAUAACUUUUAUCUAAAAUUCUAGAAGUCUGUGCUCUAAUUUUCCUUUUCUGACCCUUAGAAGCACUAUACAACAUCCAUAUUUUCUAUAGUCAUUUCAGGCUACAUCGGAUCUACCACACCACAAGUCUCAAGUGGUCAAGCAGCUUUCAAGGCAAUCUGGAAUUAUUGCAGAGCCUUCUCUUGCCCUGAGCCUCACUCAGAAUUAAUAGUGUUAUGGGCUCCUCAGCAAAUGGGUAAGAGUUGUGCACGUAAAUGAGGAUAUAUUGCAUACAAAUUCCAAAGAUAUCCACCAGGUAUUGUGCCUCUUCUUUAGUAAUAAGAAGGUGCAAGAUGCAGCAAUUUGUUUUAACUCUGAAGACAUUCUGACAUGUGAAUAACAGCAUAAUCUAACUUAUAGGGGUUUCCUGAGAAGAAAAUGAAUUCCUUAGCCCAACACAUGACAUUAAGUAAGUGCUUAAUAAGUAUGAGCUAUGAUGAUGAUGACAAUUAUGUUUAUUAUUACUACCAUACUUGAAAUUUAAGCAAGACUGCAUAGAGAAGGCCUUUUUAGAUUUCCAAAACCUUCCCUUCUCCACCUCCCAACUGCAACAUACUGCAAUCAGAGGAGUAAAAGAAUAGAAAUAAUGUCUGAGGUAGAAGUAAUUGUAUCUAUAUCUCUUCAUAAAAAGUAGAUAUCAAAUUCAAGAAGUCAGUUCUACCUGUGCAAACAGUUGUUAUGUGCUGAAUCAUUUUACAUGUAACAAUAUGUUCCAGUAAAGUCUUAGACCACUUUAUGGUUUUUAACAAAAAUGUGACAGAAAGUGUCCUCACUCCGUACUGAUUCCAUAUGUUUGUGUGAACUUGUAGUCUGGGAAGGAGUGUGGAGAAUGGCUCGGGGAACAGUGACCUCCACCUACAAGAAGAUAAACAGGUCUUUGGGAUUGAAGAACUUAACCCU